rnacentral:misc_RNA from 1 species
UUAACUAUUAUAUAGUACUCAGACAUUACUAAACAAAAGAGUUGGGGUCCUCUGGCAGGCGCAGUCAGCCGGAGCCGACGCCUCGAGAGGCGGCCUGCCAAAGCAACAAAGGUAUGUAAACACGGUUUAGAAGUUACCCAUUUCAAAAAACGGGGCGUUCUUUAAUGAUCCUUCCGCAGGUUCACCUACGGAAA